AUUACUAUUGCAUCCAUACACCUUUGACAUCUCUGGCCUAUGGAGACCCUUUGAGAAUGGAUCUGGCCUAUAUGCAUCUAUGUUUCCCUGCCUUCAGAGGUCUGAUUCUUGGGAUUUUUGUGACUCACCCAGCACCUUCCAUCUGGAAAGCCAGUAAGCACUCUCUCAUCUACAUUCUGCCCAUUUCUCUCAUCUUCUCUUUCCUUGGCUUCAUAAUAUUCACAGGCCAUUCAAACUCAGUUAUUUUUAUCGUGAGGCAAACCAUGUUC
rnacentral:lncRNA from 1 species